rnacentral:lncRNA from 1 species
UAAUAUGUUGUAGACAUAGCAUUUUCCAUGUAGAGAAUUGUUGAGUCAAUAACCAUUGUACUAUUUAGCACAGUUGAUUAAGAAUUUGAUAAUUAAUAUUUUUUUAUGUUAUUAAUUAAGUUUAUGUCCAAAACAUAAACGAAUUAGUAAACUUGCUACUUUUCUCCCUCUAAAAAAAACCCACACUUUUACUUCAGAAUUAUCGAGCAAUGUAAAUCCUAACUUACACUUUCAACUGACAAUUUAGCUCUAAUAUCAUAUAUAAUUAAUGAUAAAUAAGAUAAGACAAAAAAUAACUUAUUAUUAAAAUAUAAUAU